rnacentral:ncRNA from 1 species
GGGCGAGGACGGCCUCGCUCCAUUCUCAAAAUCCGCAGGGACGGCCCUG